AGUGGAAUAGUUGGGUCAUAUGGUUGUUCUGUCAUAGUUUUUUGAGGAAUCUCUAUAUUGCUUUCCAGAGUGGCUGCACUAAUUCUCAAUCCCACCAGCAAU
rnacentral:pre_miRNA from 1 species